GCCCGUGUAGCUCAGUUGUUAGAGCAUCCCAUUGGUAUUGGGAAGGUCGUAGGUUAGACUCCUAUCAUGGGCACCA
rnacentral:tRNA from 1 species